CUCAGGAUGAACGCUAGCGGCAGGCUUAACACAUGCAAGUCGAGGGGCAUCGGGAGUAGCAAUACUGCCCGGCGACCGGCGCAAGGGUGCGUAACGCGUGAGCAACAUGCCCGUAUCAGGGGGGAUAAUCCAUGGAAACGUGGUCUAAUACCCCAUAGUAAUUAUGUAAGGCAUCUUAUAUAAUUUAAAGCUUUGGUGGAUACGGAUUGGCUCGCGUGACAUUAGCUGGAUGGUAAGGUAACGGCUUACCAUGGCUACGAUGUCUAGGGGUUCUGAGAGGAAGGUCCCCCCACACUGGAACUGAGACACGGUCCAGACUCCUACGGGAGGCAGCAGUGAGGAAUAUUGGACAAUGGAUGGAAAUCUGAUCCAGCCAUGCCGCGUGCAAGGAAGACCGGCCCUAUGGGUUGUAAACUGCUUUUGUAUGGGAGCAAUAAGGGCUACGUGUAGUCCGAUGAGAGUACCAUACGAAUAAGCACCGGCUAACUCCGUGCCAGCCGCAGC
rnacentral:rRNA from 1 species